UACGUAGGCAGCAAGCGUUGUUCGGAGUUACUGGGCGUAAAGGGUGCGUAGGCGGCCCUGUAAGUAUGGUGUGAAAUCUCCCGGCUUAACUGGGAGGGUGCGCUAUAGACUGCGGGGCUCGAGUGUGGGAGAGGAAAGUGGAAUUCCUGGUGUAGCGGUGAAAUGCGUAGAUAUCAGCAGGAAUACCCGUGGCGAAGGCGGCCCCCUGGGCCGAACCUGACGCUGAGGCGCGAAGGCUAGGGGAGCGAACGGG
rnacentral:rRNA from 1 species